AGCUUGAUUGCAAGACAUACAGGUCGAGCAAGGAUGAAAAUCGGACUUAGUGAUCCGGUGGUUCUGCGUGGAAGGGCCAUCGCUCAACGGAUAAAAGCUACCCUGGGGAUAACAGGCUUAUCUCCCCAAAGAGUCCACAUCGACGGGGAGGUUUGGCACCUCGAUGUCGGCUCAUCACAUCCUGGGGCUGUAGUAGGUCCCAAGGGUUGGGCUGUUCGCCCAUUAAAGUGGUACGCGAGCUGGGUUCAG
rnacentral:rRNA from 1 species